GAAAGGUGUGUUUAUUUCUGGUCUCAACAAAAAAAGUGGCAAAUUUUGUGCAGAAAAAGUAAUAGUUUAUUUAUAAAUAGUUCAGUGACAAGUUUAUUAGAUACCAGUUUUCUCUGUGUCGAUGGCACUAUUCUCAAACCGAGUAGAACAAGCUGGCGAAGAUCUCUUAAGACUCUGCUACAGUUUGCAAAAAGACGUAGAAAAUCCGCUGAUGCUCACCCAACUGAAGCUACUCACAGAGUUUUUUCGAGGGCUCAGACCGAAAAUUCAAGUGAUUGGAUAUUUCGAUGUAAAUAAAAGGUUAAUACCCGUGAUGAUUUCGCUUAUAACUUCCUAUUUGAUCAUUAUAAUUCAAUUUCAAGGCCGUGUACUAUAAAAACGUUUGUUUAUUUAUCUAUGUAGGUGUAAUUGAAUGUAUUUUAUUAUGUAAAUUACUUAAAUAUUGUUUAUGUUGUUUAGUUUUAUUGUAUAAACUAAUAUCAUUCAGAA